ACUGCUCAGUAACACGUGGACAACCUGCCCUUAGGACGGGGAUAAACCCGGGAAACUGGGUAUAAUACCCGAUAGGUCUCGAUUGCUGGAAUGCAUCGAGAUUUAAAGCUCCGGCGCCUAAGGAUGGGUCUGCGGCCUAUCAGGUAGUAGUGGGUGUAGCGUACCUACUAGCCUACGACGGGUACGGGUUGUGAGAGCAAGAGCCCGGAGAUGGAUUCUGAGACACGAAUCCAGGCCCUACGGGGUGCAGCAGGCGCGAAAACUUUACAAUGCUGGCAACAGCGAUAAGGGAACCUCGAGUGCCAGGUUACAAAUCUGGCUGUCGAGAUGCCUAAAAAGCAUUUCAUAGCAAGGGCCGGGCAAGACCGGUGCCAGCCGCCGCGGUAACACCGGCGGCUCGAGUGGUAACCGUUAUUAUUGGGUCUAAAGGGUCUGUAGCCGGCCGGAUAAGUCUCUUGAGAAAUCUGGCAGCUUAACUGUCAGGCUUUCAGGAGAUACUGUCUGGCUCGAGGCCGGGAGAGGUGAGAGGUACUUCAGGGGUAGGGGUGAAAUCUUGUAAUCCUUGAAGGACCACCAGUGGCGAAGGCGUCUCACCAGAACGGACCUGACAGCAAGGGACGAAAGCUAGGGGCACGAACCGGAUUAGAUACCCGGGUAGUCCUAGCCGUAAACGAUACUCGCUAGGUGUCGGCCACGGUGCGACCGUUGUCGGUGCCGUAGGGAAGCCGUGAAGCGAGCCACCUGGGAAGUACGGCCGCAAGGCUGAAACUUAAAGGAAUUGGCGGGGGAGCAC
rnacentral:rRNA from 1 species